rnacentral:misc_RNA from 1 species
GAUGAAGAACGUAGCGAAGUGCGAUAAGUAAUGUGAAUUGCAGAAUUCCGUGAAUCAUCGAAUUUUUGAACGCAAAUUGCACUCUCUGGUAUUCCGGAGAGUAUGCCUGUUUGAGGGUCAGUAAAAUAAAAAUCGAUGUUGUUGUCAAUGAUAACGCGUCGGAAUUGAGUCGUCUUACCUUCGGUUAAGUGACUUAAAAUUUUUACGCGAAUUCGAAACGUAUUUAAUGUUUAUGUACGUUUGCGAUAUUCCAAUAUUUAUUAGAUGCGGUCAUUCCUAUGAUUCGCGCCUAUAAUUUUUCAUUUCUUGACCUCAAAUCAGGUAAGAGUACCCGCUGAACUUAAGCAUAUCAAUAAGCGGAGGA